CAAGACAUGAAGUUAGGUCAGCAAACCCGCUGAACUUAAGCAUCUGUCG
rnacentral:rRNA from 1 species